rnacentral:rRNA from 1 species
UUGGAGGGCAAGUCUGGUGCCAGCAGCCGCGGUAAUUCCAGCUCCAAUAGCGUAUAUUAAAGUUGCUGCAGUUAAAAAGCUCGUAGUUGAAUUUCGGGACUAAUAUGUCGGUCGUGCCUCGGUACGUACUGGUAUUUUUGGUUUCUCCCUUCUGACGAACCUUGAUGUCAUUAAUUUGGUGUCUUGGGGAAUCAGGACUGUUACUUUGAAAAAAUUAGAGUGUUUAAAGCAGGCUCACGCUUGAAUACAUUAGCAUGGAAUAAUGAAAUAGGACGUUUGAUACUAUUUUGUUGGUUUCUAGGAUCGACGUAAUGAUUAAUAGGGAUAGUUGGGGGCAUUAGUAUUCAAUUGUCAGAGGUGAAAUUCUUGGAUUUAUUGAAGACUAACUACUGUGAAAGCAUUUGCCAAGGAUGUUUUCAUUAAUCAAGAACGAAAGUUAGGGGAUCGAAGACGAUCAGAUACCGUCGUAGUCUUAACCAUAAACUGUGCCGACUAGGGAUCGGAUGAUGUUAAUUUUUUAAUGACUCAUUAGGCGCCUUACGGGAAACCAAAGUGUUUGGGUUC